rnacentral:rRNA from 1 species
UUCGCCCUUAGACUUUGAUCCUGGCUCAGAGCGAACGCUGGCGGCAGGCUUAACACAGGCAAGUCGGGCGGGCGUAGCAAUACGUCAGCGGCAGACGGGUGAGUAACGCGUGGGAACGUACCUUUUGGUUCGGAACAACACAGGGAAACUUGUGCUAAUACCGGAUAAGCCCUUACGGGGAAAGAUUUAUCGCCGAAAGAUCGGCCCGCGUCUGAUUAGCUAGUUGGUGAGGUAACGGCUCACCAAGGCGACGAUCAGUAGCUGGUCUGAGAGGAUGAUCGGCCACAUUGGGACUGAGACACGGCCCAAACUCCUACGGGAGGCAGCAGUGGGGAAUAUUGGACAAUGGGGGCAACCCUGAUCCAGCCAUGCCGCGUGAGUGAUGAAGGCCCUAGGGUUGUAAAGCUCUUUUGUGCGGGAAGAUAAUGACGGUACCGCAAGAAUAAGCCCCGGCUAACUUCGUGCCAGCAGCCGCGGUAAUACGAAGGGGGCUAGCGUUGCUCGGAAUCACUGGGCGUAAAGGGUGCGUAGGCGGAUCUUUAAGUCAGAGGUGAAAGCCUGGAGCUCAACUCCAGAACUGCCUUUGAUACUGGGGAUCUUGAGUUCGGGAGAGGUGAGUGGAACUGCGAGUGUAGAGGUGAAAUUCGUAGAUAUUCGCAAGAACACCAGUGGCGAAGGCGGCUCACUGGCCCGAUACUGACGCUGAGGCACGAAAGCGUGGGGAGCAAACAGGAAUAGAUACCCUGGUAGUCCACGCCGUAAAC